rnacentral:rRNA from 1 species
CACGUAGUUAGUCGUGGCUUUCUUGAAAAGUACCGUCAAGUAGAACUCAUUUCCUAAUUCUACCAUUCUUUCUUAACAACAGAGUUUUACAACCCAUAGGGCCUUCAUCACUCACGCGGCAUUGCUCGUUCACGGGUUUCCCCCAUUGACGAAUAUUCCUAACUGCUGUCUCCCGUAGGAGUCUGGGCCGUGUCUCAGUCCCAGUGUGGCCGAUUAACCUCUCAGUUCGGCUACGCAUCGCUGUCUUGGUAGGCCAUUACCCCACCAACUAACUAAUACGCCGCAGGCCCAUCUCUAAGCGAAGCUUUAAGGGCUUCUUUACUCCGUAGAGCACAUUCGGUAUUAUCAACCGUUUCCAGUUGUUACUCCCCAAUUAGAGGCAGGUAACCCAGUCGUUAACUCACCCGUUUGCCACUAGGUGGAAAAUCCAAAUCCAUCUUUGUGCAAGCACUCAGACUUCAAGUGGGCCACUCGUCGACUUGCAUGUCUUAGGCAGUGCCGCCAGUCCGUUCAUCCUGACGUCCAA